UAGGGUGCUGGUUUUGUUAGCGUCACUUCUCCCUUCAUACGAGUCUUUGAUGACUGCUCUUCUAGUGACAAAGAACACCAUCAAGAUGGAUGAGGUCACCACGGUGAUACUCCAGAAUGAAGUUCUUAGGAGGGAGAACCCAGCUUCAAGCUCAGGUGGUGGUAGCUCAGUUUUGGUGAUUUCUGGAAGAGCAGGAGGCAGUAGACGGAGCGAUAGA
rnacentral:lncRNA from 1 species